rnacentral:lncRNA from 1 species
CCCUUUGAUAGUUUUUUAUAUCUGUCUGAUAGCACCAUGAUAUUUUUUUAUAUAUGUCUGAUAGCACUAUGAUAUAUCAAAUUAGUAUGUGAUGGAUACAUAUGUGUUGUUUUAAAUUUGGGAGCUCUCUAAUAGAUUUUUAAAUAUGUCUAAUAGUCGUAUGAUAUAUCUAAUUAGUUUGUGAUACAUCUUUGAUACAUAUAUGUUUCUAAGUUUGGGUAGCCCUCUGCUUUUUGAUUACUUCUACAAUACCAUCUUCUACUUUUUGACCACCAUGUAAUUACAAAAAAGUCUUCACAAGAAGAUAAGUCAUCUGAAUCAGUAGAACAUUAAUGACCAAAAUGAAAAGUAAAGCCAACACCCAAGGGCUAUUGCUUUGAAAACUGGAAAGAAACACAAAUCUCCCCAAAGAAAAGAAAAGUAAAGCCAACACUCAAAAUUGAAUACGAAAUCGUAAACGAAAAGAAGAAAGAAGAUGCUGAAAUCAAAAUCAUCGAACACAAAAAAAGAAGAAAAUAUUACGAAAUCAAAAUCCUCACAAGGUUUAUGAUACACACCUCAUUCUUUAUAUUAGAAUAUUAGUGACAAUUGAUCGAAACACUUAAAUUUAAAUGUGUUAUUUGAUUCCUUCAUCACCUACCGAUUAUUUGCACUAUUCAAGAAUAGAGAUACAGCAGCUACAAAUUGUAUCAAUUACAGGAUGAUCCGUCGAUUGAAUCACAAAGAGGGUAGCACCAACAUACCAGAUACAUAGUCAUGGAUGAAGUUGAUAAAACAAAAAUUCAAGUGUACUAAAUUUAGCAUAAAAAUUGAAAUUAGAAUGAAGUUGAAACUUAAAUUAGUGUAGAAGGAAAAAGCUGAAACAAAUAAAAUUGAAAUUAGAACCUUAUUUUUGUGGGAAUGAAGUCGAAGAAUAAAAAAAUCUUGGAGUAGAAAAAAUUGGUGAAAUAUUGAAGCGUUGGAUGCUUCGAAAUCUUGGAGUUAGAUGAGUCGAAAUCUUGGAGCUUGUCAAAAUCUUUGUCAAUGUUCUAGGGUUGAGAAACAAAGAAGAAAAAAAUUGGGGAAACAUAGCGAAGAAGAAUGAGGAGUGGCAGUGGCGGUCGUAGCAGUGGACCGAGGAGAAGAACGAGAAGUGGAGUUGGUGGAGACGUCGUACAUGAGUGAGGAAUUAAGAGUGGGGUUGGCCGGGUGAGACGACUGAGUGAGUGAAGAAGAUGAGAGAGAAUCUAAAUUUGGUUGUGGG